ensembl:lncRNA
AUGUCUGUUUCCUCUGCCAGGCUGGUGUGGAAGCCGACCCGUGUUUCUUCCCCCAUCCGAAUGCUGGGGAAGCAGCAAGGAGGAAAGGGGAGUGUUAGAGAAAGUGUGUUGGGCACCUUUCAUGUAUCUGCAGAAUUCUCUUGACCCCUCACCUCCUACUGACAUCACUGCUGGUGUUUUGUACAGGUACAGUGAAAUAGGGCCUGACCCCAAGCCCACACUGCAUAGCCUCCCUUCCUGCCCUAGGGCCUCUCUGAUAUAACAGCUAUGAAUUCAUUUACACUCAACUUGAAAUUAUAGGGUGGAAGAAAGCUGAGUGCCGAAGAAUUGAUGCUUUUGAACUGUGGUGUUGGAGAAGACUCCUGAGAGUCCCUUGGAUUGCAAGGAGAUCCAACCAGACCAUUCUGAAGGAGAUCAGCC